GACAGCGAUCUGAGAGAGAGACAUCGAUUUGAGAGAGAGACAGUGAAAGAAGAAGAGAGAGAGCAGCAAAAAGAAGAGAAGAAGAAAGAAGACUUCAGUGACCCCCUGCCAGAGAUAACAUCUUCCCAUUUGGGAUCCUCUGGACAAAGGGGCGUCGGAGAUGGGCCUGCGUGCCAUCAUGGACCUUUACA